CCAUGCCGUAAACGGUGGGCGCUAGGUGUGAGACCCUUCCACGGGUUUUGUGCCGUAGCUAACGCAUUAAGCGCCCCGCCUGGGGAGUACGGCCGCAAGGCUAAAACUCAAAGGAAUUGACGGGGGCCCGCACAAGCGGCGGAGCAUGUGGAUUAAUUCGAUGCAACGCGAAGAACCUUACCUGGGCUUGACAUAUUUAGGUUCGCGGCAGAGAUGUCGUUUCCCUUUGUGGCCUUUAUACAGGUGGUGCAUGGUUGU
rnacentral:rRNA from 1 species